AAUCAACGCUGGCGGCGUGCCUAACACAUGCAAGUCGAACGCGAAAGGGGCUUCGGCCCUGAGUAGAGUGGCAGACGGGUGAGUAACGCGUGGGUGACCUACCCUCGAGCGGGGGAUAACGUCCCGAAAGGGACGCUAAUACCGCAUGACAUCCCGCCCUUGGACGGGUGGUGAUCAAAGCUGGGGAUCGCAAGACCUGGCACUUGAGGAGGGGCCCGCGUCCGAUUAGCUAGUUGGUGGGGUAAUGGCUCACCAAGGCUUCGAUCGGUAGCCGGCCUGAGAGGGCGGACGGCCACACUGGGACUGAGACACGGCCCAGACUCCUACGGGAGGCAGCAGUGGGGAAUUGUUCGCAAUGGGCGCAAGCCUGACGACGCAACGCCGCGUGGAGGAUGAAGAUUUUCGGAUCGUAAACUCCUGUCGAAUGGGACGAAUGGCCCGGCCGUGAAUAACGGCUGGGAAUGACGGUACCGUGAGAGGAAGCCCCGGCUAACUCCGUG
rnacentral:rRNA from 1 species